AUGGCUGUCGUCAGCUCGUGUUGUGAGAUGUUGGGUUAAGUCCCGUAACGAGCGCAACCCUUAUCCUUAGUUACCAGCACGUAAUGGUGGGCACUCUAAGGAGACUGCCGGUGACAAACCGGAGGAAGGUGGGGAUGACGUCAAGUCAUCAUGGCCCUUACGGCCUGGGCUACACACGUGCUACAAUGGUCGGUACAGAGGGUUGCCAAGCCGCGAGGUGGAGCUAAUCCCAGAAAACCGAUCGUAGUCCGGAUCGCAGUCUGCAACUCGACUGCGUGAAGUCGGAAUCGCUAGUAAUCGCGAAUCAGAAUGUCGCGGUGAAUACGUUCCCGGGCCUUGUACACACCGCCCGU
rnacentral:rRNA from 1 species